rnacentral:rRNA from 1 species
AUUGAACGCUGGCGGCAUGCCUUACACAUGCAAGUCGAACGGUAGGGGGAGCAAUCCCCUGAGAGUGGCGAACGGGUGAGUAAAGCAUCGGAACGUGCCCAGUUGUGGGGGAUAACUACUCGAAAGAGUGGCUAAUACCGCAUACGACCUGAGGGUGAAAGCGGGGGACCGAAAGGCCUCGCGCAGUUGGAGCGGCCGAUGUCAGAUUAGCUAGUUGGGGGGGUAAAGGCCCACCAAGGCGACGAUCUGUAGCUGGUCUGAGAGGACGACCAGCCACACUGGGACUGAGACACGGCCCAGACUCCGACGGGAGGCAGCAGUGGGGAAUUUUGGACAAUGGGCGCAAGCCUGAUCCAGCCAUGCCGCGUGCAGGAAGAAGGCCUUCGGGUUGUAAACUGCUUUUGUCAGGGAAGAAAUCCCUUGGGUUAAUACCUCGGGGGGAUGACGGUACCGUAAGAAUAAGCACCGGCUAACUACGUGCCAGCCGCCGCGGUAAAAC